UAUUGCACAAUGGGGGAAACCCUGAUGCAGCGACGCCGCGUGAGCGAAGAGGUAUUUCGGUAUGUAAAGCUCUAUCAGCAGGGAAGAAAAAAAUGACGGUACCUGACUAAGAAGCCCCGGCUAACUACGUGCCAGCAGCCGCGGUAAUACGUAGGGGGCAAGCGUUAUCCGGAUUUACUGGGUGUAAAGGGAGCGUAGACGGCGAAGGAAGUCUGAAGUGAAAGCCCGCGGCUUAACCGCGGAACUGCUUUGGAAACUUUUUUGCUGGAGUACCGGAGAGGUAAGCGGAAUUCCUAGUGUAGCGGUGAAAUGCGUAGAUAUUAGGAGGAACACCAGUGGCGAAGGCGGCUAACUGGACGGUAACUGACGUUGAGGCUCGAAAGCGUGGGGAGCAAACAG
rnacentral:rRNA from 1 species